ensembl:misc_RNA Metazoa_SRP Metazoan signal recognition particle RNA
GCUGGGCGUGGUGGCACACACCUGUAAUCCCAGCUACUUAGGAGGCUGAGGUAGGAGACUUGCUUGAGUCCAGGAUGUUGAGGCUACAGUGAGCUACAAUCUCACCACUAUACUCCAGCCUGGGCAAUAGAGCAAAACCCUGUCUCUA